GUGGGGAAUAUUGGACAAUGGGCGAAAGCCUGAUCCAGCCAUGCCGCGUGUGUGAAGAAGGUCUUCGGAUUGUAAAGCACUUUAAGUUGGGAGGAAGGGCAGUAAGUUAAUACCUUGCUGUUUUGACGUUACCGACAGAAUAAGCACCGGCUAACUUCGUGCCAGCAGCCGCGGUAAUACGAAGGGUGCAAGCGUUAAUCGGAAUUACUGGGCGUAAAGCGCGCGUAGGUGGAUUUGUAAGUUGGAGGUGAAAUCCCCGGGCUCAACCUGGGAACUGCAUCCAAAACUGCAUGACUAGAGUACGGUAGAGGGUAGUGGAAUUUCCUGUGUAGCGGUGAAAUGCGUAGAUAUAGGAAGGAACAACAGUGGCGAAGGCGACUACCUGGACUGAUACUGACACUGAGGUGCGAAAGCGUGGGGAGCAAACAGGAUUAGAUACCCCUGUAGUCC
rnacentral:rRNA from 1 species